GAUGAACGCUGGCGGCGUGCCUAAUACAUGCAAGUCGAGCGAACGGACGAGAAGCUUGCUCCUCUGAUGUUAGCGGCGGACGGGUGAGUAACACGUGGAUAACCUACCUAUAAGACUGGGAUAACUUCGGGAAACCGGAGCUAAUACCGGAUAAUAUUUUGAACCGCAUGGUUCAAAAGUGAAAGACGGUCUUGCUGUCACUUAUAGAUGGAUCCGCGCUGCAUUAGCUAGUUGGUAAGGUAACGGCUUACCAAGGCAACGAUGCAUAGCCGACCUGAGAGGGUGAUCGGCCACACUGGAACUGAGACACGGUCCAGACUCCUACGGGAGGCAGCAGUAGGGAAUCUUGCGCAAUGGGCGAAAGCCUGACGGAGCAACGCCGCGUGAGUGAUGAAGGUCUUCGGAUCGUAAAACUCUGUUAUUAGGGAAGAACAUAUGUGUAAGUAACUGUGCACAUCUUGACGGUACCUAAUCAGAAAGCCACGGCUAACUACGUG
rnacentral:rRNA from 1 species